CCAAUAGCGUAUAUUAGUGUUGUUGCGGUUAAAAAGCUCGUAGUUGAAUUUCGGGAUUGGGAUAUAUCGGUCGUGCCUUUAGGGGCAUGAAUCGGUGUGUGGCCAAUUCUCACCUUCUGGUGAAUUGGGAUGCUCUCGGGUGUUUCAAUGAACUAGGACUUUUACUUUGAAAAAAUUAGAGUGUUUAAAGCGGGCAUUUUUGCUUGAAUACGUUAGCAUGGAAUAAUAAAAUAGGACGAUGGUUCUAUUUUGUUGGUUUUAGGACCACGUAAUGAUUAAUAGGGAUAGUUGGGGGCAUUAGUAUUCAAUUGUCAGAGGUGAAAUUCUUGGAUUUAUUGAGGACUAACUACUGCGAAAGCAUUUGCCAAGGAUGUUUUCAUUAAUCAAGAACGAAAGUUAGGGGAUCAAAGACGAUUUAUGUACGUCGUAGUCUUAACCAUAAACUAUGCCGACUAGGAAUCAGACAAAGUUAAUUUUUUAACGACUUGUUUGGUACCUUACG
rnacentral:misc_RNA from 1 species